CCUACGGGUGGCUGCAGUGGGGAAUAUUGGGCAAUGGGCGCAAGCCUGACCCAGCAACGCCGCGUGAAGGAAGACGGCCCUCGGGUUGUUAACUUCCUUUAAGAGGGAAGAGCAGAAGACGGUACCUCUUGAAUAAGCUAUGGCUAACUACGUGCCAGCAGCCGCGGUAAUACGUAGGUGGCAAGCGUUGUCCGGAUUUACUGGGUGUAAAGGGCGUGUAGCCGGGCUGACAAGUCAGGUGUGAAAUCCCGUGGCUCAACCACAGAACUGCAUUUGAAACUGUCGGUCUUGAGUAUCGGAGAGGCAGGCGGAAUGCCUGGUGUAGCGGUGAAAUGCGUAGAUAUUAGGAAGAACACCAGUGGCGAAGGCGGCCUACUGGACGACAACUGACGGUGAGGCGCGAAAGCGUGGGGAGCAAACAGGAUUAGAUACCCCUGUAGUC
rnacentral:rRNA from 1 species